UACGGAGGAUCCGAGCGUUAUCCGGCUUUAUUGGGUUUAAAGGGUGCGUAGGCGGCCUAUUAAGUCAGGGGUGAAAGACGGUAGCUUAACUAUCGCAGUGCCUUUGAUACUGAUAGGCUUGAAUGUACUUGAGGUAGGCGGAAUGUGACAAGUAGCGGUGAAAUGCAUAGAUAUGUCACAGAACACCAAUUGCGAAGGCAGCUUACUAAAGUAUGAUUGACGCUGAGGCACGAAAGCGUGGGGAUCAAACAGG
rnacentral:rRNA from 1 species